GACGAACGCUGGCGGCGUGCUUAACACAUGCAAGUCGAACGAAGAACCUUCCUUCGGGAGGGGGACGAGUGGCGAACGGGUGAGUAACACGUGGGCAACCUGCCCCUCGCUCUGGGAUAACCCCGGGAAACCGGGGCUAAUACCAGAUAUUCAGCUCCGCAGGCAUCUGUGGAGUUGGAAAGGAUUCUGGCGAGGGAUGGGCCCGCGGCCUAUCAGCUUGUUGGUGGGGUAAUGGCCUACCAAGGCGACGACGGGUAACCGGCCUGAGAGGGCGACCGGUCACACUGGGACUGAGACACGGCCCAGACUCCUACGGGAGGCAGCAGUGGGGAAUAUUGCGCAAUGGGCGAAAGCCUGACGCAGCAACGCCGCGUGAGGGAUGAAGUACGUCGAGAUGUAAACCUCUUUCAGCAGGGACGAAGCGAAAGUGACGGUACCUGCAGAAGAAGCGCCGGCUAACUACGUGCCAGCAGCCGCGGUAAU
rnacentral:rRNA from 1 species